CGUGUCCUUAAGUGGGGAAUAACGCAUCGAAAGAUGUGCUAAUACCGCAUAUCUCUGAGGAGAAAAGCAGGGGAUCGCAAGACCUUGCGCUAAAGGAGCGGCCGAUGUCUGAUUAGCUAGUUGGUGGGGUAAAGGCUUACCAAGGCAACGAUCAGUAGUUGGUCUGAGAGGACGGCCAACCACACUGGGACUGAGACACGGCCCAGACUCCUACGGGAGGCAGCAGUGGGGAAUUUUGGACAAUGGGCGAAAGCCUGAUCCAGCCAUGCCGCGUGAGUGAAGAAGGCCUUCGGGUUGUAAAGCUCUUUUAGUCGGAAAGAAAGAGUUGCAAUGAAUAAUUGUGAUUUAUGACGGUACCGACAGAAAAAGCACCGGCUAACUACUUCCAGCAGCCGCGGUAAUAC
rnacentral:rRNA from 1 species